UACGUAGGGGGCAAGCGUUGUCCGGAUUUAUUGGGCGUAAAGAGCGUGUAGGCGGUUUGGUAGGUCCGCUGUGAAAACUCGAGGCUCAACCUCGAGACGCCGGUGGAAACCAUCAGGCUAGAGUCCGGAAGAGGAGAGUGGAAUUCCUGGUGUAGCGGUGAAAUGCGCAGAUAUCAGGAAGAACACCCGUGGCUAAGGCGGCUCUCUAGUACGGUACUGACGCUGAGGUGCGAAAGCGUGGGGAGCAAACAGG
rnacentral:rRNA from 1 species